rnacentral:rRNA from 1 species
GGCGGCGUGCUUAACACAUGCAAGUCGAACGGACCUUCGGGUCAGUGGCGGACGGGUGAGUAACGCGUGAGAAUCUGCCCUCAGGAGGGGGAUAACGGCUGGAAACGGCCGCUAAUACCCCAUAUGCCGCGAGGUGAAAUGAAUUUCGCCUGAGGAUGAGCUCGCGUCUGAUUAGCUAGUUGGUGGGGUAAAGGCCUACCAAGGCGACGAUCAGUAGCUGGUCUGAGAGGAUGAUCAGCCACACUGGGACUGAGACACGGCCCAGACUCCUACGGGAGGCAGCAGUGGGGAAUGUUCCGCGAUGGGCGAAAGCCUGACGGAGCAACGCCGCGUGAGGGAUGAAGGCCUCUGGGCUGUAGACCUGCU